rnacentral:rRNA from 1 species
CCUACGGGAGGCAGCAGUGGGGAAUUUUGCGCAAUGGGGGCAACCCUGACGCAGCAACGCCGCGUGAGUGAUGAAGGCCUUCGGGUCGUAAAGCUCUGUCAGAAGGGAAGAAAUGCAGGUGGUGAAUAACCAUUCUGUUUGACGGUACCCUCAAAGGAAGCACCGGCUAACUCCGUGCCAGCAGCCGCGGUAAUACGGAGGGUGCGAGCGUUGUUCGGAAUUAUUGGGCGUAAAGCGCGUUUAGGCGGUUUGUUAAGUCUGAUGGAAAAGCCCCGGGCUCAACCUGGGAAGGGCAUUGGAUACUGGCAGACUCGAGGACGGGAGAGGAGAGUGGAAUUCCCAGUGUAGGAGUAAAAUCCGUAGAUAUUGGGAGGAACACCGGUGGCGAAGGCGGCUCUCUGGACCGAUACUGACGCUGAGACGCGAAAGCGUGGGGAGCAAACAGGAUUAGAUCCCCCUGUAGU